rfam:Felis catus isolate Cinnamon breed Abyssinian chromosome A2, whole genome shotgun sequence.
GAAGUGAUGGUUGGUCUUUUAGCUCUUUUGUAAUGAAAUCCGGACGCACCUUAAACAAACCUUAAGACUGUGGUGUAAGAUGCUUUCCUC